rnacentral:rRNA from 1 species
UACGAAGGGGGCUAGCGUUGCUCGGAAUUACUGGGCGUAAAGGGCGCGUAGGCGGCGCUGUUAGUCAGGCGUGAAAUUCCUGGGCUUAACCUGGGGACUGCGCUUGAUACGGCAGUGCUAGAGGGUGGAAGAGGGUCGCGGAAUUCCCAGUGUAGAGGUGAAAUUCGUAGAUAUCAAGAGGAACACCUGAGGUGAAGACGGGUUGCUGGGCUGACACUGACGCUGAGGCGCGAAAGCCAGGGGAGCAAACGGG